GGGGCCUUAGCUCAGCUGGGAGAGCACCUGCUUUGCAAGCAGGGGGUCGUCGGUUCGAUCCCGACAGGCUCCACCAUUUGAGUGAAACGACUUUGGGUCUGUAGCUCAGGUGGUUAGAGCGCACCCCUGAUAAGGGUGAGGUCGGUGGUUCGAGUCCUCCCAGACCCACCACUCUGAAUGUAGUGCACACUUAAGAAUUUAUAUGGAUCAGCGUUGAGGCUGAGACAUGUUCUUUUAUAACUUGUGACGUAGCGAGCGUUUGAGAUAUCUAUCUAAACGUGUCGUUGAGGCUAAGGCGGGGACUUCGAGUCCCUAAAUAAUUGAGUCGUAUAUUCGCGUUGGUGGCUUUG
rnacentral:tRNA from 1 species